rnacentral:rRNA from 1 species
UACGUAGGUGGCAAGCGUUGUCCGGAUUUACUGGGCGUAAAGGGCGUGCAGGCGGUCUGUUAAGUUCAGGGUGAAAGCUCCCGGCUCAACUGGGAGAGGUCCUUGGAUACUGGCAGACUUGAGGAGGGUAGAGGAGAGUGGAAUUCCCGGUGUAGUGGUGAAAUGCGUAGAGAUCGGGAGGAACACCUGUGGCGAAGGCGGCCAGCUGGGCCGGACCUGACGCUGAGACGCGAAGGCGUGGGGAGCGAACGGG